GACGUAGGGCGCAAGCGUUGUUCGGAUUUAUUGGGCGUAAAGAGCUCGUAGGCGGCCUGUCGCGUCGACCGUGAAAACCCGCAGCUCAACUGCGGGCUUGCGGUCGAUACGGGCAGGCUGGAGUUCGGUAGGGGAGACUGGAAUUCCUGGUGUAGCGGUGAAAUGCGCAGAUAUCAGGAGGAACACCGGUGGCGAAGGCGGGUCUCUGGGCCGAUACUGACGCUGAGGAGCGAAAGCAUGGGGAGCGAACAGG
rnacentral:rRNA from 1 species